GCUGGGCGUGGUGGCACAUGCACACCUGUAAUCCCAGCAUCACGGGAGGCUGAGGUUGGAGGAUUUCAAGUUCAAAACCAGCCUCAU
rnacentral:sRNA from 1 species